rnacentral:rRNA from 1 species
CACUAUCGUUAACUGAAUACAUAGGUUAACGAGGCGAACCGGGGGAACUGAAACAUCUAAGUACCCCGAGGAAAAGAAAUCAACCGAGAUUCCCCCAGUAGCGGCGAGCGAACGGGGAGCAGCCCAGAGUCUGAAUCAGCUUGUGUGUUAGUGGAACGGUCUGGAAAGUCCGACGGUACAGGGUGAUAGUCCCGUACACCAAAAUGCACAGGUUGUGAACUCGAAGAGUAGGGCGGGACACGUGGUAUCCUGUCUGAAUAUGGGGGGACCAUCCUCCAAGGCUAAAUACUCCUGACUGACCGAUAGUGAACCAGUACCGUGAGGGAAAGGCGAAAAGAACCCCGGCGAGGGGAGUGAAAAAGAACCUGAAACCGUGUACGUACAAGCAGUGGGAGCACCUUCGGGUGUGACUGCGUACCUUUUGUAUAAUGGGUCAGCGACUUAUAUUCUGUAGCAAGGUUAACCGUAUAGGGGAGCCGCAGGGAAACCGAGUCUUAACUGGGCGUUAAGUUGCAGGGUAUAGACCCGAAACCCGGUGAUCUAGCCAUGGGCAGGUUGAAGGUUGGGUAACACUAACUGGAGGACCGAACCGACUAAUGUUGAAAAAUUAGCGGAUGACUUGUGGCUGGGGGUGAAAGGCCAAUCAAACCGGGAGAUAGCUGGUUCUCCCCGAAAGCUAUUUAGGUAGCGCCUCGUGAACUCAUCUUCGGGGGUAGAGCACUGUUUCGGCUAGGGGGUCAUCCCGACUUACCAACCCGAUGCAAACUACGAAUACCGAAGAAUGUUAUCACGGGAGACACACGGCGGGUGCUAACGUCCGUCGUGAAGAGGGAAACAACCCAGACCGCCAGCUAAGGUCCCAAAGUCAUGGUUAAGUGGGAAACGAUGUGGGAAGGCACAGACAGCCAGGAUGUUGGCUUAGAAGCAGCCAUCAUUUAAAGAAAGCGUAAUAGCUCACUGGUCGAGUCGGCCUGCGCGGAAGAUGUAACGGGGCUAAACCAUGCACCGAAGCUGCGGCAGCGACACUAUGUGUUGUUGGGUAGGGGAGCGUUCUGUAAGCCUGCGAAGGUGUGCUGUGAGGCAUGCUGGAGGUAUCAGAAGUGCGAAUGCUGACAUAAGUAACGAUAAAGCGGGUGAAAAGCCCGCUCGCCGGAAGACCAAGGGUUCCUGUCCAACGUUAAUCGGGGCAGGGUGAGUCGACCCCUAAGGCGAGGCCGAAAGGCGUAGUCGAUGGGAAACAGGUUAAUAUUCCUGUACUUGGUGUUACUGCGAAGGGGGGACGGAGAAGGCUAUGUUAGCCGGGCGACGGUUGUCCCGGUUUAAGCAUGUAGGCUGGUUAUCCAGGCAAAUCCGGAUAAUCAAGGCUGAGGUGUGAUGACGAGGCACUACGGUGCUGAAGUAACAAAUGCCCUGCUUCCAGGAAAAGCCUCUAAGCAUCAGGUAACAUCAAAUCGUACCCCAAACCGACACAGGUGGUCAGGUAGAGAAUACCAAGGCGCUUGAGAGAACUCGGGUGAAGGAACUAGGCAAAAUGGUGCCGUAACUUCGGGAGAAGGCACGCUGGUGUGUAGGUGAAGUCCCUGCGGAUGGAGCUGAGACCAGUCGAAGAUACCAGCUGGCUGCAACUGUUUAUUAAAAACACAGCACUGUGCAAACACGAAAGUGGACGUAUACGGUGUGACGCCUGCCCGGUGCCGGAAGGUUAAUUGAUGGGGUUAUCCGUAAGGAGAAGCUCUUGAUCGAAGCCCCGGUAAACGGCGGCCGUAACUAUAACGGUCCUAAGGUAGCGAAAUUCCUUGUCGGGUAAGUUCCGACCUGCACGAAUGGCGUAAUGAUGGCCAGGCUGUCUCCACCCGAGACUCAGUGAAAUUGAACUCGCUGUGAAGAUGCAGUGUACCCGCGGCAAGACGGAAAGACCCCGUGAACCUUUACUAUAGCUUGACACUGAACAUUGAGCCUUGAUGUGUAGGAUAGGUGGGAGGCUUUGAAGCGUGGACGCCAGUCUGCGUGGAGCCAACCUUGAAAUACCACCCUUUAAUGUUUGAUGUUCUAACGUUGGCCCCUGACCGGGGUUGCGGACAGUGUCUGGUGGGUAGUUUGACUGGGGCGGUCUCCUCCCAAAGCGUAACGGAGGAGCACGAAGGUUAGCUAAUCCUGGUCGGACAUCAGGAGGUUAGUGCAAUGGCAUAAGCUAGCUUGACUGCGAGCGUGACGGCGCGAGCAGGUGCGAAAGCAGGUCAUAGUGAUCCGGUGGUUCUGAAUGGAAGGGCCAUCGCUCAACGGAUAAAAGGUACUCCGGGGAUAACAGGCUGAUACCGCCCAAGAGUUCAUAUCGACGGCGGUGUUUGGCACCUCGAUGUCGGCUCAUCACAUCCUGGGGCUGAAGUAGGUCCCAAGGGUAUGGCUGUUCGCCAUUUAAAGUGGUACGCGAGCUGGGUUUAGAACGUCGUGAGACAGUUCGGUCCCUAUCUGCCGUGGGCGCUGGAGAAUUGAGGGGGGCUGCUCCUAGUACGAGAGGACCGGAGUGGACGCAUCACUGGUGUUCGGGUUGUCAUGCCAAUGGCACUGCCCGGUAGCUAAAUGCGGAAGAGAUAAGUGCUGAAAGCAUCUAAGCACGAAACUUGCCCCGAGAUGAGUUCUCCCUGAGACUAUAAGUCUCCUGAAGGAACGUUGAAGACGACGACGUUGAUAGGCCGGGUGUGUAAGCGCAGCGAUGCGUUGAGCUAACCGGUACUAAUGAACCGUGAGGCUUAACCUU